AACACUACUUAGGGGAAAACCUAAACUCCUUCCAAUUAGGGUUUUAGCUCCAUAAACCCCCAUUUUCAGAUUGCAUCGCUCACUACUCGAAACCCCACUUCAAAUGACAAUCGCCGCCGCCAGAUCCGUUUUCCGGUCGUCAGCUGUUCGUAACGCCGCAGCCAAGCUCGGCUUCCAACCAAAAACUGCUCGCACUCCGUUUCGACUUCCUUCUAGUACUCCGUUCGCUCACCGCCUCUUCCGGAGUCCCGUUGAGAUGAGUGCGUGUUUGGAGUCAAUGCAGCCGUUCCACACAGCCACUGCCUCUGCAUUGAUGACCUCGAUGCUCACCGCCUCCAGCUGCGGUUUUGCUUGGCUUCCUGAAGGUAUCUAGCAACGACUGUAGAGCUCCCUUUUGCUGCCCUUACCAUCAUUCUAUUUAUCGGGCGUUGACAAGACUAGAUGAAGAUGCAGAAGCAAAGAGCAAUGCUUUAAUUCUCUCUUUCAGAACACUAUGUAAAAGAAGUCAAUGCUUUACGUUGUUGAAUAGACAUCCUUUGACUCUUUUACAUUUGCACAAUAAAUAUCUGUUCUCAUAUCGAACAGCUUGAUUAAGCUCUCAUUAGUUAAGUUUCAUUUUCUUGUGAUUUAUUUUCAUGCGCUGAAGUCAGUUUAACCUCGUUUCUUCA